UGCGCAGGCGGUUUUGUAAGACAGACGUGAAAUCCCCGGGCUCAACCUGGGAACUGCGUUUGUGACUGCAAGACUAGAGUGUGGCAGAGGGGGGUAGAAUUCCACGUGUAGCAGUGAAAUGCGUAGAGAUGUGGAGGAAUACCGAUGGCGAAGGCAGCCCCCUGGGCUAACACUGACGCUCAUGCACGAAAGCGUGGGGAGCAAACAGGAUUAGAUACCCUGGUAGUCCACGCCCUAAACGAUGUCAACUAGGUGUUGGGAGGGUUAAACCUUUUAGUACCGUAGCUAACGCGUGAAGUUGACCACCUGGGGAGUACGGCCGCAAGGUUAAA
rnacentral:rRNA from 1 species